rnacentral:lncRNA from 1 species
UAAUCCAUCUUGAAAUGAUUUUUGUAUAAGGUGUAAGGAGGGGAUCCAGUUUCAGCUUUCUACAUAUGGCUAGACAGUUUUCCCAGCACCAUUUAUUAAAUAGGGAAUCCUUUCCCCAUUGCUUAUUUUUCUCAGGUUUGUCAAAGAUCAGAUAGUUGUAGAUAUACAGCGUUAUUUCUGAGGGCUCUGUUCUGUUCCAUUGAUCUAUAUCUCUGUUUUGGUACCCGGCUAAUUUUUUUUUGUAUUUUUAGUAGAGACGAGGUUUCACCGUGUUAGCCAGGAUGGUCUCAAUCUCCUGACCUCGUGAUCUGCCUGCCUCGGCCUCCCAAAGUGCUGGGAUUACAGGCGUGAGCCUGUGCCCGGCCGAUAAUAUCCAUUUCUUAAUUGGACUGUUUAGAGCAUUUACAUUGUUAAUAAUUAGUAUGAUUGGAUUUAGGGCUACCAAUUUUAUUACUGGCCUUCUGUUUGUCCUCUCUCAUUUGUUCCUCCCUUCCUCCUCUUACUCCCUGUCUGUUUAAAAUAGACUUUUGGAGCAGUUUUAGGUUCACAGCAAAAAUGAGCAGAACAUAGAAUUCCCAUAUGCCCCUUUACCCUCACAUGCACAAUUUCCCCUAUAAUUAACAUCUUGCAUUAGUGUGUUAUAUGUGAUGAACCAAUACUGACAUGAUUAUUAACUACAGUCCAUAAUAUGCAUUAGGGUUCACUCUUUAUGUUGCACAUUCUCUGGGUUUAAACAAAUAUAUAGACAUUUAUUCACCAUUGCAGUAUCAUACAGAUUAAUUUGACUAACCUAAAGUCCUCUAUGCUCUGCCUACUCAUCCUCCCCCAACUAGAUCCUGGCGACUACUGAUCUUUUUUACUGUCUCCAUAGUUUUGUUUUUUCCAGAAUGUCAUAUAUUUGGAAUCUUAUGGUAUGUAGCCUUUUCAUAUUGGCUUCUUUCACUCAGUAAUAUGUAUUUAAGGUUCCUGCAAGCCUUUUCAUGGCUUGAAAGCUCAUUUCUUUUUAGUGUUGAAUAAUAUUCCAUUGUCUGAAUGUACCAUAGUUUAUCCAUUCACCUACUGAAGGACAUCUUGACUGUUUCCAAGUUUUAGCAAUUAUGAAUAAAGCUGCUAUAAAUAUCUGUGUACAGGUUAUUGUGUGGACAUAAGUUUUCAACUAAUUUAGGUAAAUACCAAGAAGUUGUUACUGCUGGAUCAUAUGGUAAAAAUAUAGUUUAUAAGAAACUGUCAAACUGUUUUCCAAAGUGGCUGUACCAUUUUGCAUUCCCACCACCAAUGAAUGAGUGUUCCUGUUGCUCCACAUUCUCACCAGCAUUUGGUGUUGUCAUUGUUUUGGACUUCUGCCAUUCCAAUAGCUGUGCUGUGGUAUCUCAUUUUUGUUUUAAUUUGCAAUUCCCUAAUAACAUAUAAUGUGGAACAUCUUUUCAUAUGCUUAUUUGACAUCUGUGUACUUUCUUUGGUGAGGUGCCCCUCCCCUCUGUUCAAUAUACUUUAGUAUUCCAUAUUAAUUUAUCUACUUUUCAACUAUCUUUGUACUGCAUUUUAGUAGCUGCUCUAGGGAUUACAAUAUACAAACCUAACUUGUCACAGUCUACUUACUUAAGAGUCGAUAUUUCACAAGUUCAAGUAAAACAAAGAAGUCUUACAACUAUAUAUAGACCCCUGUUACUGUUGUGAAAUUACAUCAACAUACAAAUUUUUAAACUUUUAACUGUUCGUUUUUCUUGCAAAUGCUAUUGUAGUAUAAUAUACAUAGGGCUUGGCACAGUGUCACAUGCCUGUAGCCACAGCUACUUGGGAGGCUGAGGAGGGAGGAUAGCUUAAGCCCAGAAGCUGGAGUCCAGCCAGGGCAACAUUUUAUUUAUGAGACUCCGUCUCAAAAUAAUGAUAAUAAUAAUACACAUAAAAUAUUAAAAUAAUAAGUGUAAAUUAUGACUUUUUACAAAAGGAAGACAUUGUUGUAACUAAAGCCCCAAUUUUAUAUAUAUACACGUAUAUAUAUAUACGUAUAUAUAUACGUGUAUAUAUACACGUGUAUAUAUAUAUACGUGUGUGUGUAUAUAUAUAUACGUGUAUAUAUAUAUAUAAAAUCAGAAACUCAGAAGCCCCUUUGUGCCCCAUCCCAUUGACUUUAGCAAGCUCACUGUACAUAAGCUAUGUACUCUUAUUUCCACACCCCAACCAAGGGUAAUUAUUAUUCUUACUUUUAAGAUGAUAAGUUAAUUUUACCUACUAUUAAAGUUCAUAUGAAUGGAAAAAUACACCAUGUACUAUUUUGUAUUUGUUGCAUACAAUUAUAUUUUGUAAAUUUCCAGUGCUGUAUAUUAGUGAUCCAUUAUUUGGCUAUACUGGCUAUACUACCAUUAAACUAUCCAUUAAGAGAUGAGUAUUUCGUUGUUUCCAGUUUAUUAUGAAAAAUUUUGCUAUGAACAUACUUAUACUUGCCUCUUUUAACUGUUUUCCAAUAUGCUUGUAUCAAUUUACAUUUCAACAGUACCAUAUAAGGUUCUGAAUGCUCCCCAAUCUUGCCAACAUGUUGUAUAAUCAGUUUAUUUCAGCCAUGUUGGCAAGUAUGUAACAGUAUUGCUUUGUGGUAUUAAUUGGCAUUUCCCUCAUGAAUAAUAAUGUUGAACAGGUUUUACAUAGGUGUGUUGGCCUUCUGGAUAUCAUCUUUUAUAAACUGCCUAUUUGAGACUUUUGUCCAUUUGUCUAUUAGGUUUUCUUCCUUUUAAAACACUGAUUUUUAGUUCUUCAUAUUAUACAAGUCCUUUUUUAGUCUUGCUCUUUUUCUUCUUUUAAUGGUGACUUUUUUGGUUUAAAGUUUUAUUGGAAUAAAAUCUACAUACUAUUAAAAUAUACACAUUGUAGUUCACAAAUCAAUGAGUUUUAGUAAAUUUACACAGUUAUGCCACUAUCACUACAGUCCAGUUUUAGAACUCCUCUAUCACCCCCAAAAAACUCCCUCCUGCCCAUCUGCAGUCAAUAACCACUUGAGAAGCAGCCCCAGGCAACUACCAAUCUGCUUCCUGCUGCUAUAAACUAUCUUUUAAAAAAAUACAUUCUUUUUUAGAUGGCUUUUCCUGUGAUUAUAAAAGUAAUAUGUAGCUAUUCUAGAACACUUAAUACAUACAUAUAUGUUCAGAGAAUAUCAGCUUGGGUUUAAUUUGACUAAUGACUAAAUUCUUAGAGCUAUAAUUAAAACCAGGUUAAUUUCUUCAAACCAAUCAGCCUUUUCAAAGGGAAUUCAUACUUCUACAAGUAUGAAUUCAAUUCAAAUAUGAAAACAAGCUUAAUGUAUCCUACAUCUUCCUUAUACCCACAGUUAGAAGACUCCUAGGGAAGAGAAAAAUUUAGGUUUCACCGCUUGAAGAAAGAGUAUGUUGACUGUUCACAUAACAGCGGAUAUUUUUCCUAGCAACCUGUGGAUCCCUAGGCAGCUGAGUAUGGAGAGGAGUAGCAGCUUUACCAGUAAGUUUUAGUAGCUACAACAAGCAACAGCAUGUGUAUGACUGAUUAUAUUAGGAGAAAGCCACAAAACUUCUUUUAAAAAACUACUAAGUAGAGACAUAGUGCUAUGAAGUGACCAGACUUUGACAUACAGGUCCAUGCAUAAACAUUGCACAGUUCUUUAUGAUCAAGUUGUAUCAUCCCAGUCAUAACUUAAGGCUUUACCUGCUUUGAAAGUUUGGUGGUCAAAGGGAUUGACUCAUUAAAAUCUAACAUUAGCCUGCAGAAGACAAACUCUCAAGAGGGAAUGUUUUAGAGUAUAGUGAAGGUGGUAAUUUACCACAAAAGGCUGAAAUAAUACAGAAAAUAUACAUUAUAGUCUACCAUGUUGUUACUUGUUUCUAUUUAUCAGUCUGAAUUUUCUUUUUCCUUUUUUUUAUUGAGUAUAUUUUAUGGUUCCAUUUUAGUUCAGCUAUUACCUUACUAACUGUUAACUCUUUUUUAAAGGAUUAUUCUAGGAUUUGCACCUUUUAUCACAGUCUACCUUCAAAUAAUACUAUACCAUGUUCUGUAUAGUGUAAAAGCUUAACAACACUAUAUUUCCACUUAGCCCCACUUUAGGUGUUUUGUGAUACUUUUAUUAUAUAUUUUAUUUCUACCUCACAAUAUACUAUUAUUUUUGUUUUCUAUAGCCAAUUAUUUUAAAAAGAGAAAAGUUUUUUUUUUUUUUCUUGAGACAGUCUCGCUCUUUUGUCCAGGCUGGAGUGCAGUGGUGCAAUCUCAGCUCACUGCAACCUCCACCUCCUGGGUUCAAGCGAUUCUCCUGCCUCAGCCUCCCAAGUAGCUGGGAUUACAGGCGCCCAUCGCCAUGCCUGGCUAAUUUUUGUAUUUUCAGUAGAGAUGGGGAUUCACCAUGUUGGCCAGGCUGGUCUCGAACUCCUGACCUUGGGUGAUCUGCCUGCCUCGGCCUCCCAAAGUGCUGGGAUUGCAGGUGUGAGCCACCAAGCCUGUCCAAGAAAACAUAUUUUUAAAAUAUUAGCCUACAUUUCUAUCAAUCUGCCACUAUUCAUGUUUUGUGUAAAUUCAAACUUCCAUGUGGUUUUCCCAUCAUUUUUCUUCCAUGUUUAAAAUUUCUGAUAUUAUAGAUCUGCUGGUAAUAAAUUCUCUCAGCUUUUUUGGUCUGAAAAUGUCUCUACUUAACCUUAGUUUUUAAAAGAUACAUUCACCACACAUAGAAUUCUAGGGUGACUUUUUUUCUCUUUUUGGUCUUUUGAAGCUAUCACUCUUGUCUUAUGGCUUUGAUAGUUUCUGAUCAUCUUCACUUAGUUACACAAAAUGUCUCUUUUCUCCCUCUGGCUAAGUUUAAGAUGCUCUCUUUUUAACUGGUUUUAGCAAUUUGAUAUAAUGUGUCUUGGUGUGUUUUUGUUUGCUCUGAUUGAGGUUUACUGAGAUUCUUUGAUCUCCGUAGUUUUUUUUUUUUCCAUCAAAUCAGAAAAUAUUUUGCUCAUUAUUUCUUCAAAUAUAUUUUUCUGUGCCCUCCUCCCUUUCAUCUCCUGAGAUUCCAAUUACAUCUAUGUUAGACUGCAUCAUAUUGCUCCAUAAGUUAUUGCUAUUUUCGUUUUUUUACAUCUUUGUUGCUUUCUCUGGGCUUUAAUAAACUAUGACUUCAAAUGUACUACUUCUGAACUGUCUAACCGAUGUUAAUCCAAUUUAGCUUGUUUUUUAUUGUCAAAUAUUACAUAUUUAAUCUCUAAAAGUUCCAUUUGAGUCUUUUUCAUAUCUUCAGUUUUUUCAUUUUCAUAAUACAAAUGGCCCUUAUUGGUUGCAACAGGCAGUGAAAGACAGGACAGAACAACUCCAUCUCCUGAGAAAGCGUCCAGAGACUCUGUCAUCACCUUCCAAAAUAAAAAAUCUAUUUUGUUCUUAUCAUAUUCAUGUUUUUUGUUAUGUCUUUGGGCAUAUUUAAAAGAUACAUUAUAGCUAAUUUGACAUUCUUACUAUUUACAUCAUCUCCAUCAUUUUAAAGUCUGUCUCUGAUUAUUGAUUUUUUUUUCCCCCUUGUUAUGGGUUAUUUUUUUCCUGACUCUUUGCCUGCCUUGUAAUUUCUCAUCGGAUGUUAGACACUGUGUUUUACAUUGUUGGAUUUUGUUGUAUUCCUUUAAAGAGUGACAAACAUUUUUCUUAACAUGCUGUUAAGUUACUUAGGAUCAGUCUGAUUCUUUUAAGACUUAAUUUUUAGUUUUGUGAGAGCAGGGCCAGAGCAGCCUUUACAUUAGGACUAUUUUGGUCCCAUUGCUAAAACAUUGUCUUUCUGAGGAUUCUACCUAAUGCCUCAUGUAAUAAAAGGUCGUUUCACUCUGGCUGAUGAGAACAGAACUACUCCUCUAAUCCUGUAUAAGUACCAGAAAUUGUUAGGUCUACAGGAUUUAGGUGAUUAGAAUAAUCAUUCUUUCCCCAAUCUCAUGGAAUUUUAACUCACAUAUGCACAGAUCAGUAGUCAGCCACAGAGACUCAAGGAGACCCCUCAGCAGAUCUCUAGCUCUUUCUCUUCAUACAAUUUCCUUCUCCUCUUUACUCUGCCUCA